rnacentral:rRNA from 1 species
AUUGAACGCUGGCGGCAUGCUUUACACAUGCAAGUCGAACGGUAACAGGCCGCCAGGUGCUGACGAGUGGCGAACGGGUGUGUAAUGCAUCGGAACGUGCCCAGUCGUGGGGGAUAACUACUCGAAAGAGUAGCUAAUACCGCAUACGAUCUAUGGAUGAAAGCGGGGGACCGUAAGUCCUCGCGCGAUUGGAGCGGCCGAUGUCAGAUUAGGUAGUUGGUGGGGUAAAGGCUCACCAAGCCAACGAUCUGUAGCUGGUCUGAGAGGACAACCAGCCACACUGGGACUGAGACACGGCCCAGACUCCUACGGGAGGCAGCAGUGGGGAAUUUUGGACAAUGGGCGAAAGCCGGAUCCAGCAAUGCCGCGUGCAGGAAGAAGGCCUGCGGGUUGUAAACUGCUGUUGUAAGGAACGAAACGGAGCUGGUUAAUACCCGGGGCUAAUGACGGUACCGGAAGAAUAAGCACCGGCUAACUACGUG